GUCGUCAGCUCGUGUCGUGAGAUGUUGGGUUAAGUCCCGCAACGAGCGCAACCCUUGUCAUUAGUUGCUACAUUCAGUUGGGCACUCUAAAUGAGACUGCCGGUGACAAGCCGGAGGAAGUGGGGAUGACGUCAAGUCCUCAUGGCCCUUAUAGGUGGGGCUACACACGUCAUACAAUGGCUGGUACAAAGGGUUGCCAACCCGCGAGGGGGAGCCAAUCCCAUAAAGCCAGUCGUAGUCCGGAUCGUAGUCUGCAACUCGACUACGUGAAGUCGGAAUCGCUAGUAAUCGUGGAUCAGAAUGUCACGGUGAAUACGUUCCCGGGUCUU
rnacentral:rRNA from 1 species